UACGGGGGGGGCAAGCGUUGUUCGGAAUUACUGGGCGUAAAGGGCUCGUAGGUGGCCAACUAAGUCAGACGUGAAAUCCCUCAGCUUAACUGGGGAACUGCGUCUGAUACUGGAUGGCUUGAGAUUGGGAGAGGGAUGCGGAAUUCCAGGUGUAGCGAUGAAAUGCGUAGAUAUCUGGAGGAACACCGGUGGCGAAGGCGGCAUCCUGGACCGACACUGACGCUGAGGAGCGAAAGCCAGGGGAGCAAACGGG
rnacentral:rRNA from 1 species